rnacentral:lncRNA from 10 species
GCAGAGGUUGCAGUGAGCCGAGAUUGUGCCACUGCACUCCAGCCUUGGUGACACAGCAAGACUCUAUAUUGGAAAAAUAUAAAAAUAAAGAUAAAAUUUUAGAGCAAACAAACUGAAAAUAUUAUAGCAAAUUACUAGAUAUUGAACCUGUCCCAUAUAUCAUAACCUUGUGUAAUCCUUAUAGUUUACAGAACACAUUCACUUAGGCUGUGAAACAGGCUUGCAGACAAUGUCACAUAAAUCAUCUAAAAUACCUUAUUGAUGAAAUUUCCAUCUAGAGAUGAGAUGUUGUGGAUUUUCUAUUAAAGUCACCACUUGCAGAACAUGUUCAAUAGUAGUAGUUGGUUCUGGAGAAACCUAUUUUGAUUUACACUCUGUGGCAAUUUCCAGAUGGGAACUUUAUAAUGUGUUGUAAGAUAUAUGAAAUAUAAUUGUGUGGAUGGGUCAGGGGCAGCUCCAUGCCACCAGUAGGAAUUCUCUUUCUUUUGUCAGAUAUACAAGCUCCACCAAGUAUGGUGUUCCCAUAGACCAUGAUACAAAUGGCCAUCCCUGGCACUAUUCAGCACUUAGCCUGACCACCAUAUGUACCAGGUUUUAUCAUGAAUCUUAAGCACAAAUUUUUAUUUUAUUUCAGACAGUGUCUUACUCUUCACCCAGGCUGGAGUAUAGUGGCACAAUCUCGGCUCACUGCAAUCUCCGCCUCCUGGGUUCAAGCAAUUCUCAUGCCUCAGCCUCCCGAGUAGCUGGGAUUACAGGCACUCGCCACCACACCUGGCUAAUAUAUUUUUUUGUAUUUUUAGUAGAGAUGGGGUUUCACCAGGUUGGCCAGGCUAGUCUUGAACUCCUGGCCUCAAGUGGUCUGUCCACCUCGGCCUCUCAAAGUGCUAGGAUUACAGGCAGGAGCCACCACACCCAGCUGCUUAAGCACAAACUAAUUUCAAAACCAGUCUUAGAAAUGAUAUCCUACGCACUUGUCAAACGGGGUCAGUUUUUCUUGAAAGUAAACCUCUGCUCUUCAUCACACAAUCUAAAUCUGCCACCCUACCUAAGGCAGGGACUUAAAAUGAGGGGCAGGUUUUCUCAGAUAAAAUAAGCAAACAGACGAAUUGGAAUAUUUCGUCUCAAUUCCCAUGUACAAUUUUCAGCCUCAUAUGCAAAUCAAUAUGGCAACCAUCUCUUUUUUCUAUCAGCAAGAGCCAUGUGUUGGUAUUAAGAGGCUAGGUUGUAGUUCCCCUCUUGACACCAGAAACACCAGGCCUACUGUUUUGUUUGAUAGCCUAGCACAGAUGUAACUCUUCUAAAGGGUAACAUUUACUACUACACAGAAAGUCAUUUUUAGAAUGUUCCUAGUCCAUCCAAGAAAGGCUAAAAAAUGUUCUGUGUGAUUCUGGACUUAAGAAGUCUUUUUCACUGAAUUCUGGCCCUAGAUGCUCACUCAACUAGUAACCAUAAUGCCCUGUUUUUCCCAAAUGCUGAAAUGGAACAUUUACUGCAUUGGCAAUGUUUUCUAGUGGGAUUGGUUACAGAAACUGUCAUUCAUUCUUACUGUGCAAUAUUACACAGCCAUAAUUAAUGAUGUAGUUAAAAACAUUUGAUGGCAUAUAAUAUAUACAUUGAAUACAUUGUAAGUAAGAAAAUAUACAGGUUAGAAAACUGUAGGUAUAGCAUAUUGUAAAAAGAAAAUAUAUAUACACGCAUAGCGAAAAAUGUCAGGAAGAAUAUACCAAAAUGUUAACGAUUAUCUUUAAGUAGUAUCAUCUUUUUUACUUCUUGUCUUUCUGUUUCUCCUAAAACUUCUAAAAUAAAAAGGUAUUAUUUUUCAUGUAAAAGUUUAAUAAACUUAUGUGUCCAUUUAAAAA